rnacentral:rRNA from 1 species
AUUGAACGCUGGCGGCAUGCUUUACACAUGCAAGUCGAACGGUAACAGGGAGCUUGCUCCGCUGACGAGUGGCGAACGGGUGAGUAAUGCAUCGGAACGUACCGUGUAAUGGGGGAUAACGUAGCGAAAGUUACGCUAAUACCGCAUACGACCUACGGGUGAAAGUGGGGGACCUUCGGGCCUCACGCGAUGAGAUGAGCCGAUGCCGGAUUAGCUAGUUGGCGGGGUAAAGGCCCACCAAGGCGACGAUCCGUAGCUGGUCUGAGAGGAUGAUCAGCCACACUGGAACUGAGACACGGUCCAGACUCCUACGGGAGGCAGCAGUGGGGAAUAUUGGACAAUGGGGGGCAACCCUGAUCCAGCCAUGCCGCGUGUGUGAAGAAGGCCUUCGGUGUAAG